rnacentral:rRNA from 1 species
UUUGUAUAAUGGGUCAGCGACUUAUAUUCAGUGGCAAGGUUAACCAUCUAGGGGAGCCGUAGGGAAACCGAGUCUUAACUGGGCGUUCAGUCUCUGGAUAUAGACCCGAAACCAGGUGAUCUAGCCAUGGGCAGGUUGAAGGUUGAGUAACAUCAACUGGAGGACCGAACCGACUAAUGUUGAAAAAUUAGCGGAUGACUUGUGGCUAGGGGUGAAAGGCCAAUCAAACCUGGAGAUAGCUGGUUCUCCCCGAAAGCUAUUUAGGUAGCGCCUCGGACGAAUACUACUGGGGGUAGAGCACUGUUAAGGCUAGGGGGUCAUCCCGACUUACCAACCCUUUGCAAACUCCGAAUACCAGUAAGUACUAUCCGGGAGACACACGGCGGGUGCUAACGUCCGUCGUGGAGAGGGAAACAACCCAGACCGCCAGCUAAGGUCCCAAAUUACUACUAAGUGGGAAACGAUGUGGGAAGGCUCAGACAGCCAGGAUGUUGGCUUAGAAGCAGCCAUCAUUUAAAGAAAGCGUAAUAGCUCACUGGUCGAGUCGGCCUGCGCGGAAGAUGUAACGGGGCUAAGUAGUAAACCGAAGCUGCGGCAAUGUGCUUUUGCACAUUGGGUAGGGGAGCGUUCUGUAAGCGGUUGAAGGUGUGUGGUAACGCAUGCUGGACGUAUCAGAAGUGCGAAUGCUGACAUGAGUAACGAUAAAGGGGGUGAAAAACCUCCUCGCCGGAAGACCAAGGGUUCCUGUCCAACGUUAAUCGGGGCAGGGUAAGUCGACCCCUAAGGCGAGGCCGAAAGGCGUAGUCGAUGGGAAACGGGUUAAUAUUCCCGUACUUCUUACAAUUGCGAUGGGGGGACGGAGAAGGCUAGGUGGGCCUGGCGACGGUUGUCCAGGUUCAAGUGCGUAGGCUUAAGAGUUAGGUAAAUCCGGCUCUUUUUAAGGCUGAGACACGACGUCGAGCACCUACGGGUGUGAAGUCAUUGAUGCCAUGCUUCCAGGAAAAGCCUCUAAGCUUCAGAUUGUAAGGAAUCGUACCCCAAACCGACACAGGUGGUCGGGUAGAGAAUACCAAGGCGCUUGAGAGAACUCGGGUGAAGGAACUAGGCAAAAUGGUACCGUAACUUCGGGAGA